UAUGGUUGUUAUAUGUUCUCUAAUGAGUAUUUAAGAUGUCGUUGUGUUUACGGUGCAAACUGACGGAAAUUGGCACAAGAAUGAUAAGAAGAAUAUUUGUAACCAGGACAGUGACUGCACUAGACACCUCAACAAGCCAGGAGGUUAUGGAAUUGUGAUAGGGAAAUGUGUUCCCUUCAAUUCCACCACCAAGAUGUGUGAGAUAAAAGGAUGGUGUCCUGCUGAGAUUGACACCAUCAGGCCGUAAGAUCAUACUGUGCAUGUGUUAGAGCGCUUUUCACAAGGCUUUGCCAUCAAUGUCUUGUUAUGUUAUGCUAAAAAAUUUAAGAGGAACAAGUUUAUCCUAAUAGUAAAGUCAUGUUCUGCAAUUCAUUUCAGACAGUCAUUGCUACAUUCACACUGUAAAUCUUAAUGCUCAAUUCAGAAGAUU